CUAAUUAGAGGCAGGUGUACUUGACUGCACUGAUACACUGGUCUACUUAUAGCCCACACUACAAACACUGCUGUGUCAUUUUGUCUCUCUGUGCAGGCCAGGGCCUACUAUAUGCCACAGCCUAAAGGCAGCAGAGUUGCAGAGGCUGGAGUGACCACUGGCUAUAUGCUUGCAGGGUGGUGGGUCUCAGAGGACAACUUCUAACCCUGUUGAAGGCAACACGUGGAGUGCAACUGGCAUUGUGGCAUAGCUGGCUCUGGCCUUGAGAUUGUGUGUUUUAUUUGAUUCAUAAAGGGGACACUGGACUGUUUUAUCUUUUAUCUCUUGAUUAUUUGUCAAUAAAUUAUCUUUUAGAAUUUUA